GACGAACGCUGGCGGCGUGCUUAAUACAUGCAAGUCGAGCGGUGAACCUGACAGAAAGCCUUCGGGCUUGACGUUGGGGGAUCAGCGGCGGAUGGGUGAGUAACGCGUGGGUACCUGCCCUAAAGUCUGGGAUAACAACUCGAAAGGGUUGCUAAUACCGGAUGUGACCGAGAGGUUAAAGGCAGAGAUGUCGCUUUAGGAUGGGCCCGCGUCCCAUUAGCUAGUUGGUGAGGUAAGGGCUCACCAAGGCUGCGAUGGGUAGCCGGCCUGAGAGGGUGGACGGCCACACUGGGACUGAGACACGGCCCAGACUCCUACGGGAGGCAGCAGUAGGGAAUUUUCCGCAAUGGACGGAAGUCUGACGGAGCGACGCCGCGUGGGGGAAGAAGGCCUUCGGUUGUAAACCUCUGUCUUCAGGGACGAAGAGGGUGUGGGAGACACACCGAAGCCGGUACCUGAGGAGGAAGCCCGGCUAACUACGUG
rnacentral:rRNA from 1 species